AUUGAACGCUGGCGGCAGGCCUAACACAUGCAAGUCGAACGGUAACAGGAAACAGCUUGCUGUUUCGCUGACGAGUGGCGGACGGGUGAGUAAUGUCUGGGGAUCUGCCCGAUAGAGGGGGAUAACCACUGGAAACGGUGGCUAAUACCGCAUAACGUCGCAAGACCAAAGAGGGGGACCUUCGGGCCUCUCACUAUCGGAUGAACCCAGAUGGGAUUAGCUAGUAGGCGGGGUAAUGGACCACCUAGGCGACGAUCCCUAGCUGGUCUGAGAGGAUGACCAGCCACACUGGAACUGAGACACGGUCCAGACUCCUACGGGAGGCAGCAGUGGGGAAUAUUGCACAAUGGGCGCAAGCCUGAUGCAGCCAUGCCGCGUGUAUGAAGAAGGCCUUCGGGUUGUAAAGUACUUUCAGCGGGGAGGAAGGCGGUGCGGUUAAUAACCGCGCCGAUUGACGUUACCCGCAGAAGAAGCACCGGCUAACUCCGUGCCAGCAGCCGCCGUAA
rnacentral:rRNA from 1 species